ensembl:snRNA U1 U1 spliceosomal RNA
AUACAUACCUGGCAGGGGAGAUACCAUGAUCAAGAAGGUGGUUCACCCAGGGCAAGGCUCGGCCGUUUCACUCUGGCUGUCUGACCCCUGCGAAUUCCCCAAUGGCGGAAAUCUCAACUGCAUAAAUUGUGCCAGUGGGGAACUGGGUUUGCACUCUCCCCUU